AUUGAACGCUGGCGGCAUGCCUUACACAUGCAAGUCGAACGGGGUUAAGGGGCUUGCUCCUUGACCUAGUGGCGAACGGGUGAGUAAUGUAUCGGAACGUACCAUUCGGUGGGGGAUAACGUAGCGAAAGUUACGCUAAUACCGCAUAUUCUCUGAGGAGGAAAGUAGGGGAUCGCAAGACCUUAUGCUGAUUGAGCGGCCGAAAUCGGAUUAGCUAGUUGGUGAGGUAAAGGCUCACCAAGGCGACGAUCCGUAGCUGGUCUGAGAGGAUGAUCAGCCACACUGGGACUGAGACACGGCCCAGACUCCUACGGGAGGCAGCAGUGGGGAAUUUUGGACAAUGGGGGCAACCCUGAUCCAGCCAUGCCGCGUGAGUGAAGAAGGCCUUCGGGUUGUAAAGCUCUUUCGCGAGGGAAGAAAACGUGCAGGUUAAUACCCUGUAUGGAUGACGGUACCUUGAUAAGAAGCACCGGCUAACCACGUGCCAGCCGCCGCAGUAA
rnacentral:rRNA from 1 species